UAAGGGAUAUUGCGCAAUGGGCGAAAGCCUGACGCAGCAACGCCGCGUGGAGGAUGAAGGCCUUCGGGUUGUAAACUUCUUUGGCUGGGGACGAGGAAGGACGGUACCCAGCAAACAAGUCACGGCUACCUACGUGCCAGCAGCCGCGGUAAAACGUAGGUGGCAAGCGUUAUCCGGAAUUACUGGGCGUAAAGGGUGUGCAGGCGGGGUGGCAAGUGGUGUAUGAAAUAUCCCAGCUUAACUGGGAGGGGUUAUGCCAGACUGCUACUCUAGAGGACGAGAGAGGGGCGUGGAAUUCCGGGUGUAGUGGUGAAAUGCGUAGAGAUCCGGAGGAACCCCAGAGGCGAAGGCGACGCCCUGGCUCGUACCUGACGCUCAGCCACGAAAGCAUGGGGAGCGAAC
rnacentral:rRNA from 1 species